AGAACGAACGCUGGCGGCAGGCCUAACACAUGCAAGUCGAACGCCCCGCAAGGGGAGUGGCAGACGGGUGAGUAACGCGUGGGAACGUACCUUUCGGUUCGGAAUAACCCGGGGAAACUCGGGCUAAUACCGGAUACGUCCGCAAGGAGAAAGAUUUAUCGCCGAAAGAUCGGCCCGCGUCGGAUUAGCUAGUUGGUGAGGUAACGGCCCACCAAGGCGACGAUCCGUAGCUGGUCUGAGAGGAUGAUCAGCCACACUGGGACUGAGACACGGCCCAGACUCCUACGGGAGGCAGCAGUGGGGAAUAUUGGACAAUGGGCGAAAGCCUGAUCCAGCAAUGCCGCGUGAGUGAUGAAGGCCUUAGGGUUGUAAAGCUCUUUUACUGGGGAUGAUAAUGACAGUACCCAGAGAAUAAGCUCCGGCUAACUCCGUGCCAGCAGCCGC
rnacentral:rRNA from 1 species